UGGGGAAUAUUGCACAAUGGGCGAAAGCCUGAUGCAGCAACGCCGCGUGAGUGAUGAAGGCCUUCGGGUUGUAAAGCUCUGUCUUUUGGGACGAUAAUGACGGUACCAAAGGAGGAAGCCACGGCUAACUACGUGCCAGCAGCCGCGGUAAUACGUAGGUGGCAAGCGUUGUCCGGAUUUACUGGGCGUAAAGGAUGCGUAGGCGGAUUUUUAAGUGAGAUGUGAAAACCCUAAGCUUAACUUGGGGACUGCAUUUCAUACUGGAAAUCUAGAGUGCGGGAGGGGAGAAUGGAAUUCCUAGUGUAGCGGUGAAAUGCGUAGAGAUUAGGAAGAACACCAGUGGCGAAGGCGAUUCUCUGGACCGUAACUGACGCUGAGGCAUGAAAGCGUGGGUAGCAAAACAGGAUUAGAUACCCUGGUAGUCCACGCCGUAAACGAUGAGUACUAGGUGUAGGAGGUAUCGACCCCUUCUGUGCCGCAGUUAACACAAUAAGUACUCCGCCUGGGAAGUACGAUCGCAAGAUUAAAAACUUAAAUGAAUUGACGGGGGUCAUAGCUG
rnacentral:rRNA from 1 species